CAGGUUUGGGUUUUUGUUUUUUUGACAGAAUGAUUCUGUUAGCCCUCUCCCAGUCAGGCAUAUCACCAAUUUCCAAACCAAAUAGUUGGGAAUGAGGCAGGCGUAGUAUAGCAUUGAGUAAUUUAAUUAUUACUAAAUAUUUUAUUCUCUGAAAAGCAGCACAUCACAUUUUCUGAUGCUUUGUAACAGGGAAAGCUAAUUUACAGAUUAAGUUACUAGUCAGAGAUGAGGUGAUGGGGAAUCUUGCAUGGGGAACGUGUCUGUCUAGCUGAUGGCCUUUAUACUUAUUCCCCCCAUCUAAGCAUUGCAUGAGAAGAGUACAUACAUCUAAAGUGCAGGAGAGAAAAUUGCACCAAUUUCCACCUAGACCACCAUGAUAAAAUAAGUCUCCUUUACAACUUUUUUGUAAAGUACUGCUUUGAUGCUAUUGACAUAUGGGUAUUAUUGUAGCAACUACUUAGUAGAGGUGUGGUUCUUUGUAAAUUAAAGGAAAAUUGUUCAAGGGUUAUAGAAACUUCUCAGGCUCCUAAGACUAACAAAGGCCACUACCUAAUGCUUAGAUAUUGGAUAUGUUACAUUUUUACUGGAGUACUUUGCAUAUAUGUGAAGCACUGCUGUUCUUGCACUGGCCUUGGUGUCAUAAAUUUGCAUUCCUCACAGAGCUGUCUAGUGUAAAUUAUCAUGACACCAAGAGCACAGUGCUAAAUCCUUUUACUGACCUUGUACCAUGGAUGGCUAAUUAAGUUGGAAAGAAAGGGGAGGCUGUACAGUUUUGUUGUACAUUUUUACAAAUUUACAACUGAGGGGAUCAGAAAUUUCUCCAAAAUUAACUUCUGAGGAGUGAAUGACUAUCAUUGCAUAUUUUGUAUGGGUGCAAGAUCUAUUACUUUUGUCCUUUCCCUUUUGCUGAUGCAGAUGUGCAGGUGUGAUUGAGCUGGAAGGUACUUGGAUACUGUAGAGGACUCAGCAGGACUGUGUGAUUUUACAGAACUUUUCUGUGGUUUUUGAUUUAUG
ensembl:lncRNA